UCCGGGUUCCCCAUUCGGACAUCUGCGGAUCAAUGCUCGUUUGCCAGCUCCCCGCAGCUUUUCGCAGGCUGCCACGUCCUUCAUCGCCUGUAAUCGCCAAGGCAUCCACCACAUGCACUUAGUCGCUUGACUCCAUAACUGUGAGCCCAGUUGGCAGUAGUCAGUUGACAGUUGUCAGUGACCACACCCCUAGGACACACCGUUACGGUUGUGUUUGCGCCAACUCGCACCAUCGGCCUUUUGUCUCCGACGGCGCAAGUAAAGAUACAACUCAACCCUUUUGCGUAUCGAGCUCUCAUCAAGCUCGAUACACCCUUACCUUCCAGAUUGUUAAAGAACGAUACAGCUCUCAGAACUACGCUCGUCUGCGAGCGCACUG
rnacentral:misc_RNA from 1 species